UACGGGGGGGGGCAAGCGUUGUUCGGAAUUACUGGGCGUAAAGGGCUCGUAGGCGGCCAACUAAGUCCGACGUGAAAUCCCAAGGCUUAACCUUGGAACUGCGUCGGAUACUGGAUGGCUUGAAUUCGGGAGAGGGAUGCAGAAUUCCAGGUGUAGCGGUGAAAAUGCGUAGAUAUCUGGAGGAAUACCGGUGGCGAAGGCGGCAUCCUGGACCGACAUUGACGCUGAGGAGCGAAAGCUAGGGGAGCAAACGGG
rnacentral:rRNA from 1 species